AAUGAACGUUGGCGGCGUGGAUUAGGCAUGCAAGUCGAGGGAGAACCCGCAAGGGGGACACCGGCGAACGGGGUAGGAAUACGUAGGCAACGUACCCUCAGAACGGGGAUAGCCACGGGAAACUGUGGGUAAUACCCGAUGAUCUGUCCUGGAUUAAUUUUCGGAUCAGCAAAGGUGAGAUUCCGUCUGAGGAGCGGCUUACGCGAUAUUAGCUAGUUGGCGAGGUAAUGGCUCACCUAGGCGACGAUGUCUAGGGGGUGUGAGAGCAUGGCCCCCACCACUGGGACUGAGAUACUGCCCAGACACCUACGGGUGGCUGCAGUCGAGAAUCUUCGGCAAUGGGCGCAAGCCUGACCGAGCGACGCCGCGUGCGGGAUGAAGGCCUUCGGGUUGUAAACCGCUGUCGGGAGGGAUGAAGUGCAUGGGGGCUAUCCCCUGUGUUUGACAGAGCUCCGGAGGAAGCACGGGCUAAGUUCGUGCCAGCCGCCGCGGUAACAC
rnacentral:rRNA from 1 species